rnacentral:rRNA from 1 species
GAUGAACGCUGGCGGCGUGCUUAACACAUGCAAGUCGAACGGAAAGGCCGAAGCUUGCUUCGGUACUCGAGUGGCGAACGGGUGAGUAACACGUGGGGGAUCUGCCCUGUACUUCGGGAUAAGCUUGGGAAACUGGGUCUAAUACCGGAUAUGACGAUCUCUUGGAUGGGGUUGUGGAAAGCUUUUGCGGUAUGGGAUGAGCUCGCGGCCUAUCAGCUUGUUGGUGGGGUAAUGGCCUACCAAGGCGUCGACGGGUAGCCGGCCUGAGAGGGUGUACGGCCACAUUGGGACCGAGAUACGGCCCAGACUCCUACGGGAGGCAGCAGGGGGGAAUAUUGAACAAUGGGCGCAAGCCUGAUGCAGCGACGCCGCGUGGGGGAUGACGGCCUUCGGGUUGUAAACUCCUUUCGCAAUCGACGAAGCCUUUUGGUGACGGUAGGUUGAGAAGAAGCACCGGCUAACUACGUG